rnacentral:rRNA from 1 species
GGUGGGAAUCAGGAUGGCCAGUGUCUCUCUGAUCAGACCUUGGAGUCGGGUUGUUUGUGAAUGCAGCCCAAAGUGGGUGGUAAACUCCAUCCAAGGCUAAAUACUAACACGAGUCCGAUAGCGAACAAGUACCGUGAGGGAAAGUUGAAAAGUACUUUGAAGAGAGAGUAAACAGUGCGUGAAACCGCUCAGAGGUAAACAGGUGGAGUUGAACUGCAAUCUUUGAGAAUUUAAUUGGUGAGUAUGGCAUAGGCUUGGAUAUGCUGGUUGGCCUUUGAAGACUGCUUAGCUGCAGGCCCUGCUUUUCGGAGUGGGGUGCAUGAGACACUUAUCAAGUGCUGUGCGCUUCGAGGGUACAUCGGACCUGCUCGCCAGUGCACUUUCUCAGAGAAUUCACCACGACCGGCGCUGCUGCCUGUCUGCUGUGGUUAAACCGGGCUUGUAUCGUCCUUGUGGCUUUGCAGGUUCGGGAUGGCAGGUAGCCCGUUUGUGCUUGUCACUUUCGGGUGUAAUCAGCUGACCAUAGUAGCACUGUGCAGUGCGCCGGAGAUGGCGGCUUGUGGUGCGUACAUGCGUGCCUGUUUGAUCGACGGCUUUGGGUCUGGUUGACAUGUUGCCUGUAAAAACAGGCCUGGUAAUGGCUCAGAGUCGUACGGUUGACGGUUGCGUGUGGGGCACUUUAAUGGGCCUAUAGUCUGUGGUGUAGUGGUAAACGAUCCACCUGACCCGUCUUGAAACACGGACCAAGGAGAGUAACAUGUACGCGAGUCAUUGGGCUAUACGAAACCCAAAGGCGCAGUGAAAGUAAAGGUCCGACUUUGGCGGACUAAGGUGAGAUCCUGUCGUUUCUCAUGCACGGUACUACCAGGCAUUCGAGCGAUAGGCGCAUCACCGGCCCGUCCCAUGGCGUAGACACUGUCUUAUGACUGGUGCACCGCCGGGGCGGAGCAUGAGCGUACAUGUUGAGACCCGAAAGAUGGUGAACUAUGCUUGCGCAGGUUGAAGCCAGAGGAAACUCUGGUGGAGGACCGCAGCGAUUCUGACGUGCAAAUCGAUCGUCAAACGUGAGUAUGGGGGCGAAAGACUAAUCGAACCAUCUAGUAGCUGGUUCCCUCCGAAGUUUCCCUCAGGAUAGC